CACCAAUCAAGACAAACCGGGCGCUACGGUGAGACGUGAAAACACCCGAUCCCAUUCCGACCUCGAUAUAUAUGUGGAAUCGUCUUGCGCCAUAUGUACUGAAAUUGUUCGGGAGACAUGGUCAAAGCCCGGGUUGAAGCCCCUAAAGGGGAUUUCUUUCAGCCAACAUCCAGCCUUAGUGGCCCCUCUCUGAUAAGGUUUGAAAGUUUUCAAAACAAAAAAAAAUGACAAAUCUGGUCCGAUGGCUCUUCUCCACUAACCACAAGGAUAUCGGUACUCUAUAUUUCAUCUUCGGUGCCAUUGCAGGAGUGAUAGGCACAUGCUUCUCCGUACUGAUUUGUAUGGAAUUAGCCCGACCCGGCGAUCAAAUUCUUGGUGGGAAUCAUCAACUUUAUAAUGUUUUAAUAACGGCUCAUGCUUUUUUAAUGAUCUUUUUUAUGGUUAUGCCGGCGAUGAUAGGUGGAUUUGGGAAUUGGUUUGUUCCGAUUCUGAUAGGUGCACCUGACAUGGCAUUUCAACGAUUAAAUAAUAUAUCAUUCUGGUUGUUGCCACCAAGUCUCUUGCUCCUAUUAAGCUCAGCCUUAGUAGAAGUGGGCAGCGGCACUGGGUGGACGGUCUAUCCGCCCUUAAGUGGUAUUACCAGCCAUUCUGGAGGAGCAGUUGAUUUAGCAAUUUUUAGUCUUCAUCUACCAGGUGUUUCAUCAAUUUUAGGUUCUAUCAAUUUUAUAACUACUAUCUUCAACAUGCGUGGACCUGGAAUGACUAUGCAUAGAUUACCACUUUUUGUGUGGUCCGUUCUAGUGACAGCAUUCCUACUUUUAUUAUCACUUCCAGUACUGGCAGGGGCAAUUACAAUGUUAUUAACCGAUAGAAACUUUAAUACAACCUUUUUUGAUCCAGCAGGAGGGGGAGACCCAAUAUUAUACCAGCAUCUCUUGUUCUCUGCUGCCUUUGCUCUAAUUGCUCCCGUUGGUGGUUAAGUCCUUCUUUUAUCCUGAGGUUUCGCUUGGACACCUUGCUUCUUACGGCUAUACCCAUCCAAAACUAUAUAUAGGAGGUUCUAGGUUGAGUUUAGCCCUUAGUUAGGCCCUUCUCCAUGACAUCAAGCCGCUCUCCAUCCAAACCAACAAGAAUAGAUCGUUGACCCACAACUACCACUUUACUACAGGAGAAAAGGCUAGCUUUGGACACCUAUGCGCGAGGGAGAGCUGGAGGCAAAGAAGGGUUAAGGAUCCGGCACAAUGAGGUACUAUAUCCAAUGUUCCAAAUGUUGCUAGAUCUUAGCCCCAUAGAUAUGAAUACAGGUACAAGGGAGAAGAAGUAUCGUAGCUUGGUCGGUAGCGAGGCACGGCAGAGAAAGAGUGCCGAAAUGAAUUAAAUAGAUAUCUGUUCACUAGCCGGUAGCAAGGUAGUAUUCCCCUAAUUCUUAUAGCACUGUCCAUGCAUUCCACCCGGGUCCAAACCUGCUGAGCUAGCUAAUUUUUCCUUGGAUCGAAAAGAGGCUGCUGGACUGGACCACGGCUGAAACUGCCAGGCGCGGACUAAAAGCUGGGCUCAGGGAUUCCCGAGUCAAACGACUACCAUACAUAGCAUAGAACUGGAAGCAGCACUAGUGUACAGAGAAGACUGGAUGUGAACACAAAACUUUACAGGAAGAAGAAUCGCCCCACUUUCCCUCUUGGAAGGAGCAUAGCCCUAUAACCCCUCUAAAGAGGAAGAGAGUGUAAUGCCUUAAAGAUCUCAUUUUCUUUUUUGAUUACUCUAAACUAAAGAAGCGACGGGCCCUUAUUGAGUGAGGAAGGAACUGAUUUCCGAUUUUCGGGAAUUGAAUCCGGUGCUACUUUUUGGUAUAGAAUUGGACAAGCAACUUCUUUGCCGAAACUACUACUUCAAAGAACUCCCUUUUCUUGCAAUCCCCCUUCUCUCGAACUUCAGCUUGACCAGAAAGAACUCCUAUUUGGCCUAUUAGAGUCAGCUCCAUACCUGACGACUCCCCUCCCUCAAAGAAGGACCUCUUCGCCUAAGCUUGACUUGAAAUACCAGGUCUUUGUCCCUAAUCAAUGCAUCCAUUUAGGUCAGAAUUCUCUAUACCAUAACUCCUCUUUUCCCUACUGAGAUAGAUUUCAGGAGUACCCUGGCCGAUGAAGGAGUCUACUUUCUUGCUUACCUACCCGAGUCGGCAACUUCCUUUGAUGAGUCACAUCCCUCCUUUUUGGCCUAUCGAGUUCCGCUAAGACCUCUUUGACUUAUUAUGCCUUAACCUACAUGGUACUAGGACUCAUUGUGGAAAUCCCAUAGGCCUAUCCUCCUUGGGCUUAUCCCCUAACUACUUCCACGGAGCCAUAUUCAAGGUGGUUGACCUACUUCCUCGGGUUGGAAUCCUCCGUAAUGGCACAACAACAGGAACGAGUACACAAUUGAAUAAAAAAGGGAAUUCACAAUAAGGUGGCAAGAUCCUUGUCCGUGGCAAAUCUAUGUUGUUGGCUACCUGGCUAUUGUCUUUUCGAAAGUAGUUUAUCAAUUGUUAUUUUAUUCUUGCUUAGGCCCUACUUCUGAAACAAGUUCAAGUCAUCUAGAAAAGUAUAGAAUGCUUAGGACAAACAUGGUGUUAUUUCACAUAGGCUUGUAGUGAAAGUAUUGAGUGCUUCUUUGAGUGGGUAAUCGAUUUCAACUCAUCUUUCUGGAUAGUGUGAGUUCUUCCUCAUUGAAUAGGAGAGUAGGAUGUAGCAUUCUUUCUAGACAGACCAUUGAGUUGUUCCGUUUGAAGUGCCCUGAGGUCAUAUUGCCUGUAUAGCGAUGGUCUGCGCACUUGAGCCGGAAUAAUUCAAGCGGUUCUGCCACAAUUCCUUCCCUUUUCCCUUGGAGGCACCUUUCUUGCCCACCAUUCUUGAUGUCGCAAGCUUUUUCACUCGCAUGCGCUCAGGGGCUAAGGACGCAGGUGGAGGAGACAUGCUCGGGGAAAGUAGGGGCUCUCAGCGACUACUUUCCUCACAGGGAGGAAGCUAGGACCAACCUAGAUCUAAUUCUAGGAGCAGCGGCAGCUGCAGGACAGAGGAAGAUUAAAGGCCAAGGCAGUAAGAACGCAAGCGAAAUGGUGAAUAAACCCUAAGUUACCUCGCGGUUAAAUAACUAGCGAUGGCCCUGCAACUAUUGUGUGGAACGCGAAGGAUUUUUUCCCUCGGGAUAAGAUUUGUUUUAAGCGGUAAUUUUGGGUUACUUUGGAAAAGUUAUUUGCUUAACCAUUUUUUCAGGGAUAUUAUCCCGAAAAAAGGGGUUUCCGAAUUCUGAACCAAUUUACUCAUUUUAACCAUCAAAUCAAAUUCUUAUCUUUUUCAUAAUUUAUGCCAUGAGUCUUGGAUCCUUUUUUCCAAACCUUGGGAUUUGGAUUCAAGGCUCGGGGGCUGGAGGACACGUGUCAUCGACGGCUUAUUUUUCGAAUUUUUGGAAGAUAAGGAAAGAAGAUUCAAGACUAAUUUGACCCUUAGCCUAAUUCUUCGAUUCAACCUAAGACUUGGAGGCUACUCUAUGUGGAGUGCAAGUCUAACUGCACUCCAUAUAAAAGAAGACUUGAAAACUACUCGGAGCUUGAGCACCUCACAGCCUCGAUACAACCAACGAAGUACUUAGAAGACACCUUCAAGACGAAGUACGGAAGAACUCGAAGACGCCUUCAGAAGUACUUGGAAGCCUGCAGUACUCGACUACUAAGAACUCGGGGGACUUGUCAGACCUAGAGCCACGGUACUGCGCACAUGGCGUAUAUAUUCUAGGAUAAGGGAUGGGACAUGGCCCACACCCUACACCAAUUGUAACAACUUGUACAGGAGUAGGACUAGUCGGAAUAGAAGAAAACUAUCUGAGUAGUACUCGGGUAGGACUCCUAAGAUAGUAUCAGGUUAGCACUUCCAUGUAACCCUAUCCUUAGACUAUAUAAUGGCGGGCAGGGAUCCCCUCCAAAUAAUACAACAUCUAAGACAAUACAAAUCACCAUACAUGACGUAGGGUAUUACGCUCUCGACGGCCCGAACCUGUCUAAAGUUCCGUGUUCCUUGCACUUUCGAGUUCUUGAUCUCGGCGACACCCCACCUACACUCUACCACCUCAAGGGUAUCCCUUGGUGGGCUUGAAUGUUAAAUACCGACACGGUACGCCCAGCAGUGUCAAUUUUGGUUGUCAACACCUUCCACCUGAUGCAUAAUGCAACGUUUUUUUACAACUGAUUCAAUAAUCAAUAAUGAAUCCGGACUUAACAUUUCAGGUAGGCUAAUUCAGUAAGUGGCUUUGUUGCAAACAUCUCGUACAAUCAAAUGAUUAUUGCUUAAGAGACUGUCAAUCUGUUGUACAAAACCUCCGAUCAACAGCUAUGGAUGAUCUCAUGUCGGUGCGAUUAUCUAAGAUACUAGGAAGGAUGACAUGCUAUGCUGCAUCCAUCUAAACUGAAUUUAACUAAGCACUAUGGAACGUGAUAAUAACACAUAAGAGUAAAUAACAAUAUGAAUCAAUUGGGGAUAGCCUUGUUUGAGCGACCUAUACGAAUGUUAAUAGAGCGGUACCGUUGACAUGCAUUUGUAGCAAACAAAAGUGUAAAAAUAUUUGUAGGAAACUACUUGUCAGGGUCUACGAUUAUUCAAGUGAACUUCAAUAUCCAUGUGCAGUAAAUGAAAAAAUAUGGAAAACCACACCGUGGCUAAACAUGCAUGGAAGAUAUAAAAACUGUAAAUAAAAUGGAAAAUGGUUCAUAUGUACGCAAACAAUACACUGAGACCUUAUUGAGACAUCUAAACAUACAUGAGAAAUUAAUCUAUUAGCAUAGCUAAAAACAAUGAGCUUACACACAACUUUGUGAAUACACACUAAUCUCGUGUGUGUGUCCAUUGUCGAGUCUGUACGAUUCCUGUCCGACCUUCUGGAAAUCCCAAGAAAAGAGGAACACAAUGCAGCUAAAAAUAAGACAUUUGCUUGCUAAAUUAGACAAUGAUAUUACACGCAAUACUAGAAAAAGGUGAUCAGUACCGGUUGGAAAACGAGUUUAGUCCUGGUUCUCCAACCAGUACUACGAGACCGAGACGAAAAAUCUUAUUCUUCGUCGCCGGGUAUUUCACCUCGUACCAAAGCCAACCUUUAGUACUGGUUGGAAAGGCUAAUCGGUACAUCGCGGGUUCGCCGGAGGAGAGGGUGUUGCACCUUGUGACGGGUAUUUCACCUCGUACCAAAGCCAACCUUUAGUACUGGUUGGAAAGGCUAAUCGGUACAUCGCGGGUUCGCCGGAGGAGAGGGUGUUGCGCCUUGUGACGGCCGCUUUAGUACCGGUUGGUCUUUCCAAUCGGUACAGAUAAAUUAACUAAGAAAUAAUAAUUAAUAAGCUUACAAAUAAAUGACACAUAUACAUGUAAUAAAACUACCAAAGAUAAUAUUAUAUAUAUAUACAUCUUUGAGAGAGAUCUUUGAAUACAUGUACAUAUAUACAUGGAAUAUCAUAGUAAAAAAUUUAUAAUUAAACCUAAAACAACUAAACUAGAUACAUAAAAUAAAACAUAUAUAUGAAUAAUAGAGCGAUUAAACCUAAUAAACUAAUUUCAAAGCUAAUUGCUAAACUAACUAAACCAAAUUAACAACCUAAACUAAAAUAAUUUAACUAAACUAUCUAAACUAAAUUAACAACCUAAACUAAACUAAUAAAACUAAACUACUAAACUAAAGAAAAUAAUUGAACUAAUAUCAAAAAAAUAAAAUAAACACUCGGUCACGGCCGGUGCCGCGCGCUAUGUACUUUGAUUGUGCACGCGGUUCGGGGCGUGGUGAGGAGACGCCUGCGGCGGGCAAGACAACGCAUGGCAAGGAGGCGCGUGGCUUAGGUCCGGUGGUGGCAGUGAGGAUGACGGAGGUGGCGGCAGCGGCGAGGACGAGACGGAGGUGGCAGCCGGUGCGUGGGUGAUCGCACGAGGAGGCGGAGAGACAACGGUGGCAACGGAAGAAGUGUGGGGGAAGGAGGAGGAAGGCUUGGGAAUUUAUAACCCGGACCUUCGGUACCGGGUGAAAAAUAUCACCCAGUACCUAAAGGCAACUUUACAAAGUUUGAUCUCGACAAAGAUUGUGUUCAUGCCUUGUUCUAAGAUUUGAUGUCCUCCUUUCUUUCUGAGAAGGGUCCAAAGGUGGUUUUGCGAUUUCUAAAUGUGCUGCAACCAUUGCAGAUUUAAUUUUUACUUCUUGAUGGUUUUGGUGUGAGCCUGCAAAAUUUUAAUGUUCCUAAGACUAUGUUGGAAGAAACACGGAAAUUGUUUCAGAAAUAGAUCCUUAUAUACAUCAUUAGCGUGUCACAUGUAUAACAAUUAUAUCAGAAUACAUAAUUAAAACUAAAAUAAAAUACACUAAAAUUAUUAUCUAAAUCAUAUGCUAACUACAUCUAAAUAAAUUAACUAUGGCAUGUAUAACAAUUAUAAACUAAUUCACUUGCUAACUACAUCUAAAUAAAUUAUUAUCACAUGUGUAACAAUUAUCACAUACUAACUAUAUAAAAAAAAUUUAUCAAACGUAUAUCAAUUAAACUAAAUCACCUACUAACUAGAUCUAAAAAAUUAUUAUCACAAGUAUAACAAUUAUAAACUAAAUCACCUGCUAACUACAACUACAAAAAUUAAUUGUAAAAUAUAUAACAAUUAUAAAUUAAAUCAUCUGCUAACUGCAUCUAAAAAAUUAAUUGCUAACUCAUGGAGAAAAUUGCUAACCUUUCUUAGCAAAAAAAUUGCAAAAAUUCCCCUCCCCUCACCUCACUUGGCUGCCAUGAACAGCUCAGGGAGGGGCAAGGGGAGGGGGUCUGGUAUUUGUUGGCGGAGGUAUUAGUACUGGAUCGUGCCACGACCCGGUACUAAUGGUCAAUCAUUAGCACUAGAUUAUGGGACGACCCGGUACUAAUGGUGUGCGAGCAUUAGUACCUGGUCGUGCCACGACCUGGUACUAAUGAUGGGGCACUGGUACUGGGCCCUCUCUAGGCACCCGGCCGUUGUAGCAACAACUGACAUUUUUGGCUUGGACCUAUAGGCCAUUUUCUAGUAGUGACGUGGCGAAGCAAUAAAAUCAUACUGAUCAUAUAAUCCACAAAAGAGACAAUAACAUGAAAGUUAACCUAGGAAAAUAAUGAUAAUGUUGCCGCAAAAAUCGAACGGUGAAUCUUGCAGAGCAUGAUACACUAAGACCUAGGAGCUCUGCUUAUCUCCAGCGCAGGUCCUGCAAAUUGGGUUAAGGGCGUGCAUUCAAUUUGACCUACAAUUAACAAGUAAAAAGAGAUUUAAUCAGUAAAACAAUAUGAAACGAAUCGGCUAGAGUUCCAAAUGGUUCCAAGGAGCGCAUCGGCUAGAACGUCCGAUACAUAUAGCCAUGCAUAAGUAGUAAAGCCGAUUCUAUGACGAAACAAGAUUAAGAAAUAAUAACCUCCUAAUUAAAUACACAUGUUUAAUUAUACUAAAUCUAUAAUAACCAUUAGUCGGAUCGGACUUAACCGAGACAGCACUAACAACUAGACGACAAACUGAGCAUAACUAACCGAUGCAUUGAAUUACACUGGGAUCUAUUCUUAGCGUUAAGUUUUUGAUCGGCCAUGAGGCCGAUUGAAAUCACCAAGCCAUCUCGAUCAUGUCAUCAUUGACCGACAGACAGAUCUGAUCGAUAGGACUUGAUCCGGCAUCAUUACUCAAGGAUCGGACUUAACCGAGACAGCUUAAGAUAAUGAUGAUAGAUCGAAUGAACCAGCUGAUAUGAUAGAUCGAACGAACCAGCUGAUAUGAUCGUCACCGACAAAACCCAAGAUCAUGGACAACUUGUUGAAGUAGCGAUAAUUAAAGGAUAGAUUGGCUAUUAAAUCUCUGCAAGAAAAGGUUAGGUAAAGCAGAUAAUCCGAUAAUUACCACCAGAUAAAUUGUGAAAUCUAUUAAGAACUAGCUAGAGAUCAAAUGAUGCAGCCUUACAAGAACUUGAUAGAAAUCAAUAACUUGUAGAUUAAACUAGAUGAAACCACAGUGAUGCGUUGGUAGCUAAAGCCUAGAGAAUCUGAUAAACACGAACUUACCAACAAGCUGGAGCUCGAUCCGAUGCAGCCCUACUUGCUGAAGAAUUCGGCGAGAAAGUACUUUAAUCCUACUCCUAGGGUUUUGGCGAAAUGCCGAGAAAAGUUGUAUUGAAUGGUGAUUAUCGUUUAUAAAACCCUAACUGCUAUUAUUUAUAGCCUAGAGCUAGAAUCCUGAUAAAAAACAACCGGUUACAAACUUUACUUGAAAAUAAAAACUACUAUAUAUAAGAUAAAACAAAAGGAAACCGGACUUCCCCAAAAUCUUUUGUUGACAUCAUUUUUCUAGUCCGAUUCAAACUCUCUCUAAUUACUCCUUGACCAAGUGUACGUCAGCUUUGACUAACCACCACAUCACCUUUGACCGGGACCCUAAUAGGUUUGACCCAAAUAAACCUUUCCCAUGAUCCUAUCGGCAUCCAUAAGUAACUCUGCAAAUUUUUGUUGUCAACACGAACUCUCCUUCCCAUGCUUUUCUUGACAGGCACUCUAUUCCAUCGAACUCCCAAGAUGAUGCAUCGGCUGUAGCAACACUGAUAGUUGUAUCAGCCAAUACCACUUCGACGUCAUCGCCUUGCCAUUGAAUAAGCCAUUGAUAUGGUGGAAGGAACACAGCAGUUUGCAUGAAUUCAAUCACGUCCAAAGAGCAAGUUGUAAGAAACCCUCUAGCUUGCAAGGAAUUCCCGCCGAAGUCCUUGAGCGUCAUAUCAGUUUUGAUUAAAUCCUCUUGAGUCUUCCCAGGCUUCCGAUAUGUGGUGUACAACAUGAGGAUGAUGGCAGCACCCCCAUCUACCAGCAUCUUGGUCAUCGGCUUUCCAUCAACAAAGCCCUUCAGGUACAAAGCUUUGAGAUGCCGAUGCUUUUCCCCCUUUGGCUUGUCGAACCAUGCUUGCCGAGGGUACAGAACCAAGUGCACAGAGGAUUCUUCCUCAUCUUCUUCAUCUGGCUGGCUUUUAUAUUCCGUAGGCAAGAAGAACAUAUUUAUAUUGGCUAAUGUUCCGGGUUCAUCAUACUUUCUCUUAGGGCGCCAGAUUUUGGUGGCCUCAACUUCUAUUUCAAGCUGCUCCUUAUGCCUUAGGCGUUGUAACCUUCUCUUUUGUGACCUGGUGAAACCUCUCGAACACCAUUGAGAGUCGGAUUAUUGAAUCAACUUGCGGCGGUAUGCGGGUUCAUCCAACUAUUCGGUGCAGCCUUGCCUGGUUGAUUGCUCUUGUGGGAAUCUUAACCUUUCAUGCCAAUCAGGAUGAUCAUAAUCUUUUGACCGCCUGUCGUGCAUUGGCCUUUCUUCCUCCCAGGAUCGGUAUUCAACCUGAUCAUGGAUGGGGUGAUGUUGCCUUUUGUGGUCAUGACAAUCUCCUUGACGCCCAUUACAUUCUGGGCAAUCUCGAACCGAGGGCAGCCUCAAGCCUUCGUUCCAGCAGUAAGCGAAGAAAGGGCAGCACCAGUGUGACUCUUGAUCAUGUCGUUCUACUUCAUGGCAUCUUUGGUCCUUCUCCUACUGACGCCUGUACUUGUUCAAUAGCAUCUAUGACGUAACUCUCGGAAGGGGUGUAGCUCCAAAAAUUCUUCCUGCUUCAUGCCAAUAGGUGUGAUGAUCACCACCCUCAGCUUCAUCGGCCAACACCUGGACCCUGUGGUCAACCGAUCCAAAUUCUCUUGCCCUUUCUGACGUCAGCACUCUAGUUUUCCCCCGAGCUCUACCAUGUUAACAUUUGCUACAGGGAAGAGAUGAUGAUCAAUCUUCAACGGCUUCUUGUUUUCAUCCAGCUGGAAUCUACCUUGCUCUAUUGCCGAUUGGAUCUGCUAGUGAAAGACUUUGCACUCAUUCAUACUGUGAGAGUUGGAAAUUUGCCACUUGCAGUACUUUUUGUUCUUCAACUCAUCAGCCGAUGGGAUAUUAUGAUUCGGGGAAAACUGAAUUUGCUUCUCCCUUAGCAGGAAAUCAAAUAUCUGAUCAGCUUUAUUAAUGUCAAAGCUGUACUUUUUCAUACUGGCCUUGACCCAUGGACACCGGCUUUUUAUUCCUGGUCCAUUUAACGAAGCCAAUUUCAUUGUUAUCUGAAGAACCCACACAUGCAACCUUCUUCUGGUAUCAGCGACCUCUGGAAUCUUGAUAGCAACCUUCAUGAGCCGAUACCCUCUAGAUGACGUGCCUGAGGCUUUCGAAUUCCUGGGCAGAGUACUUGUCCUUUGAUGGCUGGCAGCAACCCCUGAAAAGCUAGCUCUACAAGCUGCCAAUCGGUCAAGUUCAAACUGAAGCAUCGGCUCCUCACAUCUCAGAAUAUCUGAAUGUACUGCAGAACCGAUAUCAUCGUUUCUUUCAGAUGGCAAUCAAAUCUGCCAGGCGCAUCUCAUGAUAGCCGAUGAAGAAAUAUUUUUGGAACUGCUUCUUCAAAUCGGCCCAGCUACGGAUGGAGUUAGCAGACAACGAUGCAAACCAUAUGAAAUCUGAUCCUGAUAAAGAUAGUGGGAACAGUCGAACCCUUGAUAGUGGGAACAGCCGAACCCUUAAGAGCAUCUUUUGCAACAGCCUCUCUGCAUUGUGCAAGGAAUCGGCUAAUAUGCUCGAUGGUCGGUACAUUGUCUUCGCCGGAGAACUUGGAGAUAUCCGGUAGCCUGUACCGAUUUGGCAAGGCCACACGAUUGAACGCCUCAGGGUAAGGGUGCCGAUACAAGUACGCCUGAUCUUUGGGCUUCAAGCUGAAGUGGUUCUGUAUAUCACAUCGACUAUGUUGCUGGUCCAAUCUUCGUUAUGCACCAUAGGCUGAGGAAUUGGCGAUGCUCGGAUUGGAAUUGGUGUCUGAGCAGUUCCAUGAAGCGGACCCUGAUAUCCUCUGUAGUCUGAUGCGAUGUCAUAACCGGGAGGAGGCCCGCCGUGUGCUGCAUUGGCCUAAUACCCUGCAGCCUGGAAGUAUGAGUCAGGGAUGUCUUGAGCGUAGUCUUGCAUGCAAGGAUAAGCACCCUGCUUGCCCCCAAACUGAUGACUAGCUCGUGCCUGCCGAUACUCUUAGGCGUGUAAUAUCGACACUGACUGCUGAUGCCCCCCGUGCACAGGAGGUGCUUGCUGAAACUUCUCCGGAGGUGGCACAGGAGGUUGAUGAGGGAAGCUACUCAUUGGAUAAGGAACUGUGUAAGGUGGCCCACUCGCUAGUUACUGCGCCAUAGGGAUCAGUGGUGGCACCUUGGGAAGCGAGGCGUCCUCCUAAGGGUUUUUGCCUUUAUCGGUAGCCGAUGAAUCCACUAGGAAGUAUGCGGGACCCAUCUGUUGCCCUGUGGUCCACCAGCUACUUGCCUGAUCAAAUUGAUCAAGGUAUUGACCAAAAAACCAGACUGAUUGAUCAGUGCGUGAUGAAUGGCCGUAUCGACCGUCUAUUGGAAGUUCCACGUGCUCGACGAUUCUACCGACCCAUCCGUGGGACUGGUUAUCAUGAUGAACGGUGUCGGCAAUUGGUUCUUCUGGAUCACCUUGCCUCUAGUCUUGCUGGAAGAUUCGAGACAGAGCUUGGUGAAUGUAUCCCUGUUGGCCUUGACCAGCUUCCUUUGUUCGUCAUCAAGGUCCUCCAAGGUGACCUUGAUGAUGUCUUCUGGGUCGUGGUCUUCUGGUAUGAUGAAGAAGUUGUAGUCGUGUCCCACCAAGUGUGCCAAAAAGCGUGUUGCCGCAAAAUCAGAUGGUGAAUCUUGCGGAGCACGACACGCUAGGGCCAGGGAGCUCUUCUUAUCUGCAGUGCAGAUCCUGCAAAUCGGGUUCAGGAUAUGCCAGUCAAUUUGACCUAUAAUUGAUAAGGGAAAAGAAAUUUAAUCAAUAAAAUAACAGGGAAUGCAACGGCUAGAGUUCCGAAUGGUUCCAAGGAGCGCAUCAGCCAGAACAUCUGAUAAAUAUAUCCACGCAUCGGCAGUAAAGCCAAUUCUAUGACGAAGCAAGAUUAAGAAAUAAAAACCUCAUAAUUAAAUACACAUGUUUAAUUAGACUUGACAGGGACAACACUAAUAGCUUGGCGAAAAACUGAGCAUAACUAACCGAUGCAUUGAAUUAUACUAGAAUUUAUUCUUAGCGCUAAGCUCUUGAUUGGCCAUGAGGCCGAUUUAAACCAUCAAGCCAUCUCGAUCAUGUCAUCAUUGACUGACAGACAGAGACAGAUCUGACCAAUAUGACUUGACCCAGCAUCAUUACUCAAGGAUCGGACUUAACCAAGACAGCUUGAGAUAACAAUGAUAGAUCGAACGAAUCAGCUGGUAUGAUCGUGGACAACUUGUUGAUAGUAGCGAUAAUUAAAGGAUACAUCAGCUAUUAAAUCUUUGUAAGAAAAGGUUAGUUAAAGCCGAUAAUCCAAUAAUUACAACUGGAUAAAUUAUGAAAUCUAUUAAGAACUAGCAAGAGAUCAAACGAUGUAGCCUUACAAGAACUUGAUAGAAACAAUAGCUUGUAGAUUAAACUAGACAAAACCACAGCGAUGUGCCGGUACCUAAAGCCUAGAGAAUCUAAUAAACACGAACUUACCAAGAAGCCGGAGAUCGAUCCGAUGCAACCCUACUUGCUGAAGAAUUCGGUGAGAAAGUACAUUAAUCCUACUCCUAGGAUUUUGGCGAAGUGCCGAGAAAAGUUGUAUUGAAUGGUGAUUGUCGUUUACAAAAUCCUAACUGCUAUUAUUUAUAGCCUAGAGCUAGACUCCUGAUCGAACAAACUUGACUUCAAAAUAAAAACUACUAUAUCUAUAAGAUAAAACAAAAUGAAACCAGACUUCCACAAAAUCUUUUGCUAACGUCAUCUUUCUAGUCCGAUUCAAACUUCUUCUGAUCACUCCUUGACCGAGUCUAUAUCAGCUUUGACUAACUGCCAUGUCACCUUUGACCAGGACCCUUGACAGUUUUGACCUGACUAAACCUUCCCAUGAUUCUAUCGGCUUCCAUAAAUAGCUCUGCAAUUUUUUGGUGUCAACAGAUAAUAAUCCAAGAAACAUGGGUGCCUUCUCUUAAAUUCUUAGACGUAGACAGUGAAGUAAUUGAGACUGCAAAGCAAAUGGGACUGAAGCAACUGUUUCCUUCAUGUGGAUAAAAUAAGAAUCCUGAACAAGCAAAGGCACCAAUACACGCAUCAGUUAGAAUAGGAGGUCCAUAUUCUCACUGAGUAGGAACUAAGUAGCCAGAGAGUAAAUGCCUAAAAGAGCUAAACUAAUUCAAAUGAAGCGCAGAAGAAUGUAGAAGAAAGGUGACAACAACAUACGAUUUCCACUUUAGAGAGAUAGGGAAGUGAUGUUUCUAGUGUCAAGAUUCGUCAUAACAGGCAAUCUUUGUUCCUCUAAGUUGUAAAGGAAAUAGAAACCUCAAACACUAUGUAUGAAUCAAAUAAUGAAAUUUGACCUCUUGGGUAAGAAUUCAAUAGUAGUAAGGAAAAUGUAUAUUCCCUCAAUAGCCUACGAUAAAUAGCAAAAAAAAAAA
rnacentral:lncRNA from 1 species